GGCUGAUCCAAAGGUAGUGAGUUAUCCCAACUGAUUGUUCACAGUCAGUUACAGAUCAAACUGCUUGUUCUACGCUUUCCCCUCUUCUCAUUACUGCACUUGACACUAGUCUAAG
ensembl:misc_RNA Y_RNA Y RNA